rnacentral:rRNA from 1 species
UGACGGUAUCAUAUGAAUAAGCACCGGCUAACUCCGUGCCAGCAGCCGCGGUAAUACGGGGGGUGCAAGCGUUACUCGGAAUCACUGGGCGUAAAGAGCAUGUAGGCGGGUGAAUAAGUUGGAAGUGAAAUCCUACAGCUUAACUAUAGAACUGCUUCCAAAACUGUUCACCUAGAGUAUGGGAGAGGUAGAUGGAAUUUCUGGUGUAGGGGUAAAAUCCGUAGAGAUCAGAAGGAAUACCGAUUGCGAAGGCGAUCUACUGGAACAUUACUGACGCUCAGAUGCGAAAGCGUGGGGAGCAAACAGGAUUAGAUACCCUGGUAGUCCACGCCCUAAACGAUGUACACUAGUUGUUGCUAUACUAGAUAUGGCAGUAAUGCAGUUAACACUUUAAGUGUACCGCCUGGGGAGUACGGUCGCAAGAUUAAAACUCAAAGGAAUAGACGGGGACCCGCACAAGCGGUGGAGCAUGUGGUUUAAUUCGACGAUACGCGAAAAACCUUACCUGGCCUUGACAUAGUAGGAAUCUUUAAGAGAUUAGAGAGUGCUAGCUUGCUAGAACCUACAUACAGGUGCUGCACGGCUGUCGUCAGC